ACUGACAAAAUAUUUUCAUUCCAAAGUCAACGUCCAAGCGUAUCAGUCGUAAAAAAAAACUAAAAUCAAAAAAAAUUUACUAAAGUUGAAAGUAAGUUUUUAUAAUUGAAAAAGGCUCAAUUACCGUCGAGAAAUAAAAUCCUACAAUCAAAGCUCUAAAAUGGAUCAGCCAAUCCACCAUCGAAAUGCUAAAGGCACCCGUGCUGAGUUAGAGAAGGCAACGGCAGACUUGGAAAAGCAAAAAUUAAUUGCAGAGAUCCAAAUAGAACGAAUGGUUCUUCUUGCUCGUCACAAUCAGGAAUUGGACAAGGCCAAUUUUGUAUUUGCCGCUUUCAAUCAUUUUGUGUAUGAAAACAAUGCAGGGAUUCAUUCACCCGCCGAAUUUUCGGCGUGUGAAUUCGCCCUACAUUACGGAAAGAUGUCUACCCUCAGCACUUUGAUCAAUCCGGGUCAGUUAUGCUUAGGGCAAGCUUUUAAGGCCAUGCAUCAUUCGAACAACACCCAUCAAUUGCCUUUGCCACCUAAUGCCGAGGGUGAAUCUAUGAGCAAAGUAUAUAGAGAUAUUAUACAAUACUUAAAAAAUUGCUUAAAUGGAAAGCCUCUGAUCGUGUUCACGCUCACCCAAGAAGUGGCCAUAGUAAAGUCAUGCUUUGACUAUAUGCAAACUGCAUGUGAACUUGAUUAUACGGACAACAGCGAUGAUGAAGAUGGAAAAAAGGAUCCCAUACCACCCAUUCUCGUUUAUGACAUCCAAUACCUAUUCUUCUAUUUAAAGAAGGAGACUAUGGGAAUGAUGGGUCAACCAAAUGAAGGCAUCAAACAUGAUGUAACUAAUGCAAUCUUUUUGCGUGAUAUUUUUGAGUUCGAAGAGAAAAUUGCUUGCCAAUUCCAUGAGGAAAUCGAUCGCUCCAGAUACUGCACUCGCAGUCAGGUAGUCCGCUGGGUCUACACCUUUUGUGAUUAUAUGUGCAAAGAUUUGGGCAUUACCAUGGAACCUGGCAAACAUGCUCCGUUCUUUAAGCCACUCGACACCUCAUCCGAUUGACUCUGUUAGCACAACGGAAAGAAAUCCAUGUUCCACUCCUAAAAAAAAUCGAUCACAAAUGAAUAUUAAAACGGAAGUCUACACAAUGCAACUUAUCGGUAAAUCCAAUUUCAAGCUUUUCUCCUUGUAAUAAUCUAAAGAGAGAUUAUACUAGAGACUAAAUGCCCUACUAACCAGCUAAGCAGCAUCUAUUAUCAGACUCCAAUCUAGACGCAACCAAACAAACUUUGAUGAGGAGCAGCAUCCUUUUUGAAUGAAAAUUUUCGCGGGUGCACGUUUCAGUUUUGAAAAUUAAAUUUAAUGCAACCUGUAAUAAAUUUUCAUGGCUCAAGCUUCCGGCCGUGCGGCACCAUCAACCAACCCUUUGAUUGCUGAUUUCACAUACAAAACACAACAACAACAAAAAAGACUUGUCUGCCAUUUAUCAAGCAAAUCAUAAUGAAAUUCCUGAAAAUUGAGUGGCUUCUCCUGAUUGUCCUAUUAGUAUCCCUGGCCAAUGUUCAAGCAGCACCCAAACGCAAAUCAAAAGGAUUUCGAUUACCAAAAUUACCCAAUAUCAAAAUCAACAUACACCAUAACAAUAUUCAUAUUGGCUAACCGCAGCUGCUUUUCUCACAUAAAUAAAACGCUAUUAUUUAUUUAUUUAUGACUAGAAUAUGUUAAGCUAAGACUGCUUAAUUAUUAAGUAGGCAAAACCGAAACAAUUUAUAAACAAAACAAAAUGAGACUCAACAUCAACACUUAGAUUAAUACUUGUAAUUAUGACAUCUUCAUACUUUCAAAUGAGACAAGCAUAAUUAAAAGUCGUUUCGUUUUCUUAUAAAA